CAAAUCAAAGUCUCCAUCUGAGCCACCCACUCUACCUUCCUCUACAGGCAACAGAGGAGUGAUCCAUACGGAGUUUAGAGGACAUGGAUGGCCAUGGGAAUAUCCAUCCACCUCAAACUAAGGGAUCACCAGUAGAAAGAGGCUUUCUCUGGAGGGGGAGAGUGUCCAGAUGAGCCUUUCCUUCAGCACAAAAGGAGAUGUAAGUAGGGAAAUGAGGUUUGGAGACAUUGCUUUUAUGCCUCCUUCUGGUCCCAGUAUCUCUACAUUGCAGGAGAAAGGCGUCAGGCCUGGAGAUAUGGCUUUCAUCAUCCUAGAGGACACUCAAUCCACCUGUGCUCCACAGAGAAGUACCCCACGGAGGCACAUGAGCUGCCUUCAAGUGCUGCCUAACAGGAACAAUUACUGUUCUGGCACUGCCACAGUGUUACAGGGCCAGGACAAGGCAAUGAGCCCAAUCUCCAGGCAGCACAGUGACAUCCAGGGAUGGACAAUCGAAGAGAGAAACUCAAGGGUGCUCUCCCACCCUCCUCUCACAGGAUUCAGCCUUGACAUCAGUGCCAUUCCAUCCAUCUAUUCCUCACGAGAGCAGGGGAUGUUGGAGAUGCCAAUGGAAACACAGACCAUACAACCCCCAGCUUCAGGCCCUGGAGGAGAGGGGUGCUCUGAGGAAGCCUGAAGGAGUGCUGGAGGUGGGAGUGACCAACACCUGGGGACACUGCUGGACAUUCCCCUGAGCCAGUGCCACCUUCCCAGCAGCUUCUUCAAGCCACACUUGUCAAAGAAAGCAUCUGGAGCCCUGCAAGGAAUGACUGGGGCAGUGCAGCUCGGGCAGGGGAUAAAGCAGGUUGCUGGCCCUCAGCUGUGUUUAUGAACAAACAGUCUCUGGAUACUCUUCCAUCGCUGAACCUUUCAGCUUUCUGUGAGUUAACUCCCUGCCAGCAGCGAGCCUGUGCCAGCCCCACAAACCUCAGCAUCUGUUUUGCAAGGCUCUUUUAUUUGUUAGCAUGUGAAAGCUAUUGCUCAUGUGUGCUUCCCAGCUGUGGUGUGCUUGGGCUUGGUAUCUUUAAAGAAAUCUUUGCUUUAUUUGCUUGUUGAACCCAGACACACACACGAAGCACAGAGUUCUCCCCUCCCUGCAUGAGCCAGUAAUGCAACCUCUGCUGACAGGUCCCCCUUCCCUGCCUUUCCUCCACGCAAACCCAGGACAAACUUCAUGACAAGAAAAUCAGGAGGCUUUUCCUCCCUUCCCUUGAACAGGGAGCUCUCCUUUUUACACUCCUGUUUGGUUUCUGUCACAGCACUUGCUGCAUUCAAUUAUCCCAUUCUGUAUCAUGGGACUGAGAGCCCUGAGCUAAAAUCAUCAUGCUCUAGUUAUGCAAGUCACUGUACAAACAGCCAGCCAGGGAAAGGCUGCUCCAAAAACAUCCACGGCAGGGCAAGGGCUGAGGGAGACACAGGGAUCAGGAGUCAUCACAUCCAAGCUCAAGCACAUCCAUGGCAGAGCCUUAUAUAGGAUCCUGCUCAAGGUCUGGCCUGUGGCUCCCUGCUGAUGAACAUUUCCUUCUCUUGGACAUGCAAAAUCAUGGAAUGGUUUGGUUUGGAAGGGACCUUAAACAUCACCUAAAUCGAACCCCCUGCCAUGGGCAGGGAGAACUUCUAUUAUCCCAGAUUGCUCCAAGCCUCAUCCAACAUGGCCUUGGACACUUCCAGAGAUGGGGCAGACACAGCUUCUCUGGGCACCCUGUGCCAGGGCCUCCCCACCCUCACAGCCAAGAAUUUUUUCAAUGCCUUUUUUUGUGGCAUCUCUUGGGACUUCUUCCAUGUACCAUGGAGUCUUCCAUGUCACAUGGAGUGUGGCAGGACACAGGUGUGUGUUGGAUGCAGUCGUGGGGUCACCCAAGGAGGAGCUGGAGUGUCUCUGUCACUGGGACACAGCCCUGCCCUGAAAUGGGAACACCCCGGUGAAUCUCCACCAUCUAAUUCUGAGGGCAAAUGCUCUGCUUUGGGCUCACAGCUUGCCAUGCCAGAUACCUGGCAUGGUUUAAUGGCAGGAUUGGCAGUGCUGCUUUAACUCUUUGGACUCAGUGACCUUAAAGGCCCUUUUCCAAGCCAAAUGAAUCUAUGAUCCAUGUUUAACUCCCUUUUUAUGUGUCUUGCAUAGCUCAAGGCUUCCUCUGAGGGUGCUUUGGGAAAGGAAAUUCAUCAUUUAAUGCUGAGGCCAGCAGAUGGAGCAGACCUUCCUUUGGGGUAAAUCAGCUUGUAUUUGUGAUCUCCAAGACUCUAGAUCAGUGUGUCAGCUAGAAUGUUGGCCAAAGGCUUUUUAUUACUAUUUUAUGACAGAUUUGGAAAGGGUUUUAAUAGCUUUUCACACUCUCUUUCUCCAUCUAAUUGCCUUGAUCUGCAGCUUAUACCAUCAGGAGUCAUUUUCCCAAGAUGGGCCUGAUGUAAGAAGAAUGGCUUGACUUUGUUCUUUCUAAAUAACCCCCUUUAAAUCAGCUUUCCUUCUCUGCCUGCUGUGUGGGAUAUGAAAGCACCCCAAACACAACACAGUCCCUCUGGUGUCCCCACAGCUCUGUCAGGAGGGUGGGAAACGCAACGUCACUUUGUGACCCUGGUGGAACCCUCUCUGUUUAAAUAAACAGCCCAGGUUUCUUGUAAUGUUACACUCCAUGGGGAGCCCUGGGACAAUAACAGAGCAGGAACCACUCAUAUGGCUCCUCUGGGAUGGAUCAACAAACAGAAGGAGUGUUGGGCCCACGUUGGAUGGGACGUGUCCCCAGUCUGCCACCCAAUGAGCAAAAUGGCUUCCCAUGGCCACCACCUGUAAAGCACCAAAAAACCACUUUGGUUGGAAGAUUCUUCAGGCCCAAAGUAAGUUCUAAGCAAAAGUACACAUGAACAUUGUUUCCAAGCAUAGAUUUGAGGUUAAAAGGUCUAAUGCUUAUUGUUGCUAAGGAAAUGGAGGGGGUGACCCCCAAAAAACAUGUUUGCAAGCACUCUCCUUUUGCACCCCUGAGGCUGUGAUGCAGCUUCCUGCCCAGGUUUGGUUUCUUUCCACAAAAGAGAUUAUUUAGGUCCAUCAGCCAUAGGAACAGAAUUCAGCCAAGGCCUGCAGGUGAUGAGAAAAUAAAAAAGUCCAGAGAGUGGGAAGACAAUCUGUUUAUGGGACAUGGGAGCUCAUCCUGGCAGAAUCUCCAAAGCAGCGGGAUUUCUCCUCUCUGUCCCAGUCCUGGAGUACGUGACAUUUUCCUCACACUGGCUACUUCUACAAUGAGAAAACCGUGGGAUUUUGAGGCUGACAGGUACAAGCAAAACCAACACAGCAACCAGAGAAAACCCUGAACUCACCAGUCCAUCCUGAAAGAAAAUGGAAAAUGUGCAGCCUCCUCUCAGGAGAUUUUGGGAAUACCUUCUUUUGGGGGAGGACACCCUGCAGCACACAAGACACAUGAUUGAAGUGGGAUAUGAAAAAAUCCUGGGGUGUUUUUUUGGUUCCCAUCAUGUGCCAGCAAUGAUGCCUCACUUCUCCAAAGCCACCCUUCAGCCAGGACAGGUACAGACCCACCAUCAUCUUGGGUUCCUCUUUUAGAGCCACUCAAGUACCACUGAGGGUCCCAGUUUCUAAGAAAUAGGUGGCACCAUACCUUGGCAAUUUGGUGGUGGACCAAACCAACCAUGAUGGGAAGUUUUCUGCUCCUGGUCCUUCAUCCAGAAGAGACUGGCAUGCUGAAGUCCCUCCCUCCCCUGGAAAUGUCCCUCAUCAUCUUUGCACUGCAGCACCAGGAGGGAGCUCCUCAGCUCUGCCAGAGGAGCAAGGGAAACCUCAUACAAACCUCUUAGGGACACCCUGGCCAGGGGAAAGCCAAUGAAAAUAAUGACUCACUUGACCCCUCACAAGACAGCCAGCACCCAAAAGUUUUCCGCACAGUGUUAAAAACACCAUGCACUGGACUCAAAUCUUGCCAGCCACGCCAGACUCCCACCUGUUUAUGUGGAAAACUUUAUGUACCCAAAGCAUGAAGUUUUUCAGCAUAAUGUGUUGGCUGGAUCAAGGUUUCCAUGUGCUCCAGUGCUGUCAAAAAGCAAUGUCUCAGCCAACACGGGACGCUGCAAAGAGGGCACAGAAAGUUUGAGUCUUCAGGAACUCAUUUGCAGCAGCUCCCUCAUUCCUUAGGUACUCAGAGACCUCUAACCCCCUGCCCUUUGAUGCACAGAGUGCAGACUGAAGGCAUCUCUGGAGGAUGAAAGAAAAGCCCCACGCCUGCACUGCUUUGCAGCUGUGCCCUGGGGGAGGGCCUGGACAGAGGUGAAACAACUGAAACUGGCAGGAUGGUGAGUACAAAAUGUGGCAAAAUAGAGAGUGGGCUUAGGUAAAACAGUGCAAGAGGCAGGGUCUAAAAGGAGAAGAGCAGAUGAUAAAAAGCCUUGUUUGGAAAUAAGCUGUGUGGACUCACAUGGUGACUCCUGGGGCAUCCUGUGCAGGGCUGAGAGUUGGACUCAAUGAUUCCUGUGGGUUCCUUCCAAAUCAGAAUAUUCUGUAAUUCUGUGACUCUGCACAAAAUGUUUGUGGCAAAAGGUGAAGUGCAAACAUCCUCUUUCAGGAAAAUUGCCUUUGUGCAGGAGCAGUGUCAGGACUAGUGCUGGCUGGUCUUAAUCUAGGAUGAGGGACUUAACUAAAGAACUGGGGAAGGUACCUGGACAAAGGCAACAGCACUCCCAGAUGCUCUGGAACCCAUGAAUGAGAUGUGGUACAACCUCCCAGCCAGGUCCUGGGCAAAGGUCUUACAUGUCCUGAUCCCAAAGUUCAGUCUUCUGUGCUGCUAUUUGAACACUUGCAGCAUGUUCCACCUCCUGAAAGGGUGGAGAACAGAGAAUUUUUCCUUCAGCCAUGGAAAUGCAACACUAUUCAUGCUGGACGGACUUGGCAGGUUUGGAACUCAGGGUCAGAACUGAAGUCAGAUCAUUUUGCUCAGGGCUUUUUUAGUCAGAUCUAGAAAACCUCCAGUUUUUCACACUCCAAAUUUCUGACUGGCUUUAAGUUUCCUUAUGAACUUCCACUUCCCAGGCUGAACAAGAUCUGAUCCUUCUGCACCUCCCUGUAGGACCAUCCAGCCCAUCAUGGUGGCCGUCUGCUAAACUCAGCCCAGUUCAUUGGCAUUUUGCUUGUGCUGGGGACACAAACCUGGACACUGCAUCCCAGACGAGAUCUAAUGGUCCCUGGGCAAUGGGAAUAGUCACAGCCCCUCAUCUGCUUGCUGUGCUCCUGCUGCACAUUUCUCACAUGUCACAAUUUGCUAAGGGUGUCUCAGCAAGCAGUUAGAAAAGCUCCUGGUUGGAGUAAUCUCCAAUUGCAGAAUGCAGUUGCAUUUCUCAAACCCAAGGCAAGAAAACAUCAAAUAGUGAUAAUCAAAAGUGACGUCGUUUGACUGAAAAAUACACAGCCCAAUUAUUACAAAUCCUGGCGAUGAUUUCUCUUGCUUCUUCCCUGGAGAAGCCAUGCUGCCAAGGGCUGGGUGUCCUGGGGACAGUCACACUGAGGCAAUGCCAUUCUCCCGUGCUGAGUUCUGCUCUUGGACACUGAUGAGUUGAACUCUGAGUUGAUCGAGGUCCCGGGACUGCAGCGGUGAGUGACAGCUUUGUUAAGCUGUGAUUGAUGACUCUGCUACCAAAUUCUGAUUAAUGUUUCCUCCCAAAGCCUCCUUGCCCUCGCAAUGUGCUGUCCAUUAGCCCCUGCCAAUAUCUGCCUGGAAUAACCUCCUGGCUGUGAUGGGCGUUGUGUGAUUAUGGUUAUCUAAACGUGUGAAUAAUUGGGAGGUUAUGCCAUAUUACAUGCUUCAUCAAGUCCUCUAUUCCAGUUUCAGGGAAACAUUUGAAGUUCAACACUAUGUCUCAAUUAUGCCUGAAUUUCUGGCAAGGGGAAAAAAAAGUCCCAUUAACGAAGCUGUCAAAAACACAUUCUGCUUUAAAUUUCCUGGGACAAUUGGACAAUGAAACUUGCUCACUCAGUAAAGAGCUGCUUUCUCCUCACAGCAUUAACAGGCUCUUGGAUUUAUUGGAUUUCUUUCUUGCUUGGGCUCUGAAAUGAGAUCUUGAUAAAAAGGAGUUGCACAGUAAAUGAGUAAGCUCUGUAAACAAUAAAUUCUGUGAUGAAACAUUUAUCUCCAGACAGUCUAUAUGGAAAGCAAUGCUGUUCUGGUGGGAUAUGGAAUGAGUUUGCACUGUGGUGAUAUUUGUAAAUGAUAAAAGAAAUAAAAUAGGUCUGUUGUUGCAGUGCUGGGACAAUCUUGUUACUGAAAGUAAGACUUUAUUCUCACAUGUGCUCUGGAGGGCAUGGGUCUGGCCUGGGACUCUGCCCCAGGCAGCUUUACACUUCAGAAUUUUUAUGGGGAACAAACCUAUCA